GGGACCCGUCUUGAAACACGGACCAAGGAGUCUAGCAUGUGCGCGAGUCAUUGGGAUAUUUACUAAACCUAAAGGCGCAAUGAAAGUGAAGGUUCGCCUUGCGCGAACCUAGGGAGGAUGGAUCGUUCCGAGGAACGGUCUCGCACUCCCGGGGCGUCUCGCUCUCAUCGCGAGAAGGGGCGCACCCAGAGCGUACACGCUGGGACCCGAAAGAUGGUGAACUAUGCCUGGUCAGGACGAAGUCAGGGGAAACCCUGAUGGAGGUCCGUAGCGAUUCUGACGUGCAAAUCGAUCGUCGGAACUGGGUAUAGGGGCGAAAGACUAAUCGAACCAUCUAGUAGCUGGUUCCCUCCGAAGUUUCCCUCAGGAUAGCUGGCGCUCGCAUCUCGCGAGUCUCAUUCGGUAAAGCGAAUGAUUAGAGGCAUUGGGGUCGAAACGGCCUCAACCUAUUCUCAAACUUUAAAUGGGUGAGAUCUCCGGCUUGCUUGAACUGUGAAGCCGCGAGAUAUCGGAUCAGAGUGCCAAGUGGGCCACUUUUGGUAAGCAGAACUGGCGCUGUGGGAUGAACCAAACGCCGAGUUAAAGCGCCUAAAUCGACGCUUAUGGGAUACCAUGAAAGGCGUUGGUAACUUAAGACAGCAGGACGGUGGCCAUGGAAGUCGGAAUCCGCUAAGGAGUGUGUAAA
rnacentral:rRNA from 1 species